UACGGGGGGGGCAAGCGUUGUUCGGAAUUACUGGGCGUAAAGGGCGUGUAGGUGGCCAACUAAGUCCGACGUGAAAUCCCCAGGCUUAACCUGGGAACUGCGUCGGAUACUGGAUGGCUUGAAUUCGGGAGAGGGAUGCAGAAUUCCAGGUGUAGCGGUGAAAUGCGUAGAUAUCCGGAGGAAUACCAAAGGCGAAGGCAGUGUCCUGGAGGGUGACUGACGCUGAGGCGCGAAAGCUAGGGGAGCGAACAGG
rnacentral:rRNA from 1 species